AUUUUUUUUAUCUUUUUCUAUUUUUUUUCGUCUUACAACGUCAGCGCAGAUUAGGUGCAAAGAACCGUUUUUCGUUUUAAAAUAAUAUAAUGGAGAUAAAAUCACAAGGUUUUAAAAAGUAAAGGUAAAGUCACAAUUAAACCAUAGACUAGAACUUAGACCUUGUACCUCCGGCCCCGAUUAACAAACAUCUCGUGGUUUUGUGGAGAGAGAGAGAGAGAAACAGCCAAUACAGGAACCUGCUAGCUAGAGGCAGGUUAAUGCGCGACGAACAGGCAAGGGAAGAAGAAAAGUCAGAAUUCUGGACACACACGCCCAGUCCCCUCAACAAACAAAGAAAAAUAUAUAAUCAACUCCCCACAGGAGACGCAGCCAUCACGCUGCACGCGCGUUAGCACUACUUUGACAACUGCACUGCAUAGUAUACAGACCACCAACGAAGCAACGAAACAAAACAAAACAAAAUAUAAGAAUAGCAAAGCAAAAGUUGGAAAGUGAAUGACACGAUGCAUCAUGUCAUGUCGGAAGGGGAAAGAGGCAGCCAGACACACCUUGCUGCCAAUUUUGAUGGGAUCAGUGUUUCGCUAGCUAAAAAAAAAAGCUGAGGAAAGGGGGGCAGCUUCCUGCAGCCGCAUCUUAGCUAGUAUCACUCUAGACAAAGUUGAAAGAAACGAAGGGAAUCUCGGUCGUGUUACCGAACAUACUAAAGAUGGGUAUGGAUUUAACAUUUGGGGCUUAAGAAUUCAUGCCCCGUUUUGUAGCAAAAUCUCGUGGUUUUGAUCCUUGUUUUUUCUUUUUAGCUCUGUCAUUUUACUCCUGCGACUUUGAAACAAGUGAGGAGUUCGUAUAUGCAGGAGGGAGUGGAGGUGCAGAGGAACAGAGCAGAAACGCUGAGAUCUGCCGCUCGCAGCCCCUGGUCGUCCUGCUGCUCGCCGCCCACAACUCCCGAGCCCCGCGACCGACGCUCGUGCCCUGCGAUGGACAUUUUGGCGAAGCCACACGUUGCUGUGUAUUUUUCGCAAAUAUCUCGUGUGUGGGGAAGGGCCGGAGGAGGAGGAGAACAGAGAGAUAAGAUCGGGGUAAUUCGGUCUUUUCGCAUGACCGGUUUUUUUUUCUUUUUCUAUUUUUCCGUCACUUACGACGUCAGCGCAGAUUAGGUGGAAAGAACCGUUUUUCGUUUUAAAAUAAUAAUGGAGAUAAAAUCACAAGGUUUUAGAGAGAGAGAGAGAGAACAGGAACCUGCAAGAGGCAGCAGGUUAAUGCGCGACGAACAGGCAAGGGAAGAAGAAAACAACGUAGUAGAGCUCCCAAAAUUCGAACGUGCACAGAAGCUUGCCAGAGAAGAGAAAACCAUCACACGCACAGUAAA
rnacentral:lncRNA from 1 species